CCAACGGCCCUCUUUAGGGCCACAACCAUCGAAUAAUCCUAAAGU
rfam:Caenorhabditis brenneri strain PB2801 C_brenneri-6.0.1_Cont934.1, whole genome shotgun sequence.